AUGGGGGUAAGACAGAGAUAGAGACAGAGACAGAGACACAGAGAGACACUGGGAGAAGAAAUGAGAUGGAUGAGAUUCACCAGUAGACACAGAGGUGAAUGGAUGGACCAGAGAGGAGCAAAGAGGUAGAGCUAGCCACUUUGUGCGAUGUAGUGGCAAGAUUAGUAGGGUUAAUCUAGAUAUCUGGCUGGGAAACUGACCUAAUUAAAGGCCUAAUCUUUAAAGUAUUAAAAAGCUUCUGUGUCACUAUUUAUAUUCCUGAUGGGUAAUAUUCAUACCUUCCCUGAUAUUUGGCGCACCAGUGAGGGGCAGAAAACUAAGCAGAGAAAACAAGGAAACUGCAAGGAAGUGAUAGUUUCCUAGCAACCAUGAAACUGUUAUGGCUGGCUGUGGGCUGGCAGACUGUGGCCCAGAACCUGGAAGAAGGUGGAGCCCACAGGAAUAGCCCACUGGACUGUGAGCUGAGUGGAUGGAGCCUGCCCGUCAUCACCUCGAGCUACCCUGAGGAGCCCCUGCUGCUGUGAGGAAAGAGUGCCUUCCUAAAACCGGUGCAGUAUGCUUGGGACUGGCAAUCCCCAGAAGAUAGAGUUUAUAGAAAUAGCCAAAAGACCAGACUGCAAUGAAGACAAAGCAAGCCGCCCAGGUGAUCCAGCCCCACAGACAACCUCAGCUGCUGUUUCCUCAAAGGUUGCAUCCAGGACGACUUCAAAGUGACUUUCAUCAAACUGCCCAGCCUCACAGACUACUUCAUCCAGGACUUCAGUUAAGCCAUGCACUUUCCUAUCCCACAGAGACUGGACAACAAGGGAAACAGCCAGGUCUCCCAGUACUUGAACAGUAUCCCAAUUUUCAUAGGGUCCCCAAAAGACUGCUUAGCUCCCAGAGAGCAGGAAGCAAUUUAAAGAACAAGAUGCUCUCAUUCCUAAGAGGUGAGUUGGUUGGUUAUUGGCCAUUUUGGUAGGCUAUGGGUGUUUUUCGUUGUUUAUAGAGGUGGAUUGCAAGUUGACAAUGGUCUUGGUCAGGGAUAAAACAAAGUAAAUAGUCAUUUUCUUCUAACACUAGAGGUAGAGGGAAAAUGGAGAAAGAGAAUGUAAGGCAAAAGGAGGAUAAAGGAAGGAAAGGAAAAAAAGGGUGGACGAUUGCAUCUCCUUUCAGACUAGAAAGCAACAACUGUCCAAACUGUGGGCAAGCAGGGCACUUGGAAGUCAAUUGCCUAACUGUGCUGAGACAAGGUAAGACAAUCCUUCAAAAUUCCUGACCCCAUAGAUAAUUCUGUCAGGUUUUCUUGGCCUGGCAGUCAAAGCUGGAUGCUUCCUCGAUACAGAGGAACCUUGGGUGACUGUCCAGGUAGCUAGCAAUCUCUGCUAUUUUUUAGUUUUGGAAGCUGCUUGCUCUGCAUUUCCUGUUUACCCAGGUAAUAUUUAUCCUUCUUGGCUCUCUGAUGGGGUUGAAGACGAGAUAUAGUCUCACAGCUUUCCUUAUUAGCAGAUGCUAACAAAAAAAAAAAAACUCACAAAAGAGGAGUAAAGUUUAUAUAGGAUGAAAGUCAUAAAGGCUCAAGGUGUGAAGAAAGUGUUUUAGGGUCUAAGAAGAUGUUUUAAAGGUGGCAAACGCAAGCUAUGAAGGUUGGAGGAUGUGAAAGUUUAAGUCACAAGAUAUUUUAAGGUUAUGAAGGUUGGAAGGUCUGCAAAGGUGUUUUAAGGGUGACAAAUUCAGUUUCUAAAGGUUAGAGGAAAUGAAAGCUUGCAGAGUAAUAGAAAGUGAUUUAGGUACAGAACUUUGGACUCACAAAGAUAGGCUAGAGAAUGGAGUAAUUUCUCCAAGUCUGCCAAGUAUCAGUGGACUGGACAUUGUAAUGUAAUUCUUACCUGAUAUAUUCUCAUAGUUGUUUUAUUGCUUAUAGUUUAUUAAUGUUACAGAAAAAGCCAUUUAUUCGACUAAACAGGAGAGAUAUUGGAGUACAUUGUCUGAAGUUGUGUCUCUAUACAUUCGAUUGAUAUUCUGUACUAACAGAGAGCUAAAUCCUGGCAGGAUCCUGGUAUUAUUAUUUCUCAUCACUGGGCCUCAUACUUUGUAAAUAUCUAUCCUUCCUCACUAGCCUAGAGGCAAUCCAGAAUUGUAUCUGAUUAUCUGUAAUAAAGAGCUGACAACUAAUAGCAGAGCAGGAAAUAGAGGGUGCAACUUCUGAGAGAGAGAGAGAGAGAGAGAGAGAGAGAGAGAGAGAGAGAGAGAGAGAGAGAGAAAAGAAAUGAGAUAUGAUAUGUGGGAGAUAUGGGGAAUGAACAGACAGACCAGACCAGUCCAGACCAAAGAAAUAGAGCUAGCCACAUGGCAGGAUAUAGUCACAAGCUUAGUAGGUUAAGCUAGAUAUCUGGCUGAGAGAGGCCUAUGCUUUAGAGUAUUAAAAAGUCUCUGUGUCAUUAUUUAUACCACAGGUGGAUCUGAAAGUCCUGCUAUGCUUCAGUGUGGGAAAGCAAGCUAUGACUUUUUGCUUGACAUGUCUGGCUAUUGUAACCAAAGGCAGCAGAGUCCCAUCUCAAACUAUGCUGUUCUCCUGGCAGAUGGACCAACGAAACAUUGGGUAGUACUGGACCCCUGCCACUUCCUCUGAUACAAGUCACACGAGCAUGUAAUAGCCAGAAAGAUGGACAGUAUUAGUUAUCAAGAAAGAAGAGUCACCUUUAGGAUUGAUUCUAAGCAGACACUUUCUCUCUUCCCUGGUACUGUAGUUAUGAUUAAUGUCAGCUGUGUUGUAGGAGUCCUACAGUAAGGAGAGUUGAGUUGGGAGGAUGCUUAUGGAAAAACCUAGAGAUUUCCAAUUACCAUAAUUUGCAAGGCUGCUCUGAUCCAUGCUAGAAACAGGAGCUGGUAUGCACAUUUUACCAAAGAUAUCCAAGUUAUUAUGGUACUUCUCAUCCUGAGCUCUUUAUAGAAGCACUAGAAGAUUGUUGGGGCGGGGGGCGUUCUUAACCAAUUUUGUGCAGCCUCUUCCUGGUGCUGUCAAUGGGUCCUCACGUCACUGUAGAAGAAAGGACCUAAAAGACAAGAGCAGGAGACAACAGCUGCCUCAGAUACAUGGCCAGGACUGAUCUUUUAAAGGUGCUUUGUUUUUCAUACUGCAAAGGCACACAGGUUUGCUACUUUAAACAAACUACUGCUGUAAUUUCUAUGGGAAUAUAUUUUGAAAGCACUUAGGCACGAAGAAACUUAAUUGUAGAUGAAGCUGAAUUUGUCAAAAUGGAUGUUCUGGCUCAAGCAGUAGGUGUUUAACUGGGCUGAAUAGGGCCAAUCUGGCUCUAGCACUGGCCCUUGUUAAGGGAAGCAGAGAAGCCAAAAGUCACUGGCAUACAUACAGGAAGAAAAUUAAAGACUGCUUGCCAUCAGAAUGUGUAACUAGAAGUAGGUGUUCUGCUUGUACACUGGCAAAUGACACCUCAUGAAGACUGAGGUGAGGCCCCCUCCCUGUUGAGGGAGGUUUGAAGUCUUUAACAAUAAAACACUAGGAUUUACUAGUUUCUGAAUAUUGGAAAUUGCUGGUAGAAAUGCUGUGGCUGACUCCAGGAGUGGUGGCCCAAUCAUCUAAUCCCAGCAUUCAGGAAGCAGAGGCAGGUGGAUCUCUGUGAGCUCAAGGCCAGACUAAUGUUUGUAGUGAAUUCUGGGUCCAAGACCAGUCUCAUCUAUUUUCACUGAAAAGAAAACUAUUUCAUGCAUCUGUUAGCUACUGUUGUUACUUUGUUUGUUACUGGUUUUGCCUUUGGAAGUUCUCCUUUGGAUUUCAGUAGCUGCUGUUGACAGAAAAUCAACUAAGUUUAUUAUAUUGGCCAUGCACAAACACACGUGCACACGCGUGCACACACACACAUUCACACACAAAUGAAUGAAAGGAUGGAUGUAUGGAUGGACAGAUAAAUGAGUAAAUAAAUAAAUAUAGUUAAAAAAUUAAAGAAACCUGCCAGGCUUGCUGCUGUCACUGUAGGCCACACUGAGCUAGACAUUGCACGAGGACUGCUGACACAGCCACUGUGGAAUAGUGCCAGUGUUUCUGUUGCAGUGGUGCCAGGGUAGUCACACCAUGUUGUUCAGAAACUUCUUGCAAAUGUCACUCAGAUGCAUUUAGUGGAAGCUACAUGGCAGUCAGAAAUCCUCACUGCAGAACAUAUGGAUAAUUAAACUUCAAUUUCCAGA